UUGUUUGGGGAGAAAAAUUGAGAGAAAAUCAAUAGAAACAUUUGUCUUCCAAAGAAUUUAUUCUUGCAAAUUUCUUCCUUUGUGUAGGUUGAAGACUUGUUGUCACCUAAGCCCGAAGAGGAGGCAUGAAGGCAUCUGGUAGACACCUAUACACGAGAAGGGGGGUUUAGAAGGAUUCAGAAGUUAGAAGAGGUGGUGUGAGUGACAAAGAAGAACCUGCAGCUUUUGGAGGCACCAAUAGAAACAGCGGUAGAGCCAAGGUCUACAAAUUCUUUCCAACACCACCCAAAGUCACAGCAGCAAUAAAGAUCGAGGAAACACAGCCAAUGGAGCUUCUGAUUAUAAUGCAGAGGAAUUUUCGGAAGAGAAAUAGUGUGUUACCUGUCUCCACAAUCAAAUUGAUGGGAUGACAAAUGGAAACCAUGAGGAUUUUUCACCAAGCAGCGAUUGGGAUCGAGAUUGCAGAAGACAAUAGUUUCAGUUUCACGGCAAAAUGGUGGUGGUCAAAUAGUAGUGCAUCAGAGCCUUAAGCAGAUAAGCUAUAAAACUUACUAGAAGUAUCUAUAUAAUGAAAUAAUCUAGAGACAGAGAAAAGUCUAGACACAGAAAGAGGUACCUUAGCAUUUGAGACAGGAAAGGACAGCGGAUAAGGCACGCUUCUUAGAAGAACCUCAAGGUUGGAGCAGCAUUGUCGGUAAGUUAGCUGCAGCAAGAUAUGGUGGUGCACUCUGAAGCACACUGUGAAGAAUAUGAGAGAGAGAGAGAGAGAGAGAGAGAGAGAGAGAGAGAGAGAGAUUGAUCUUCUUGCUCUUAGCUCAGUAGUUUAUUAUAAAAAUGAUACGAGGAUAGCCACUACAUGCAUCAAUUGAUCUGUACUCAUUUCACAAACAAUUCAGUGGAAGCAUCCCCCAUACAUUAACAAAA